GCAACAUACGUCUGGCUUUUGUCAGGUUAUAUAACUAUAACUUCAAGGUUGUCAUAGGCAUCCUUUUUGGAUUCAGUGUCAUUGCACUGAUGGGCCUGCUCAUCUCCCUCCUCAUGAUCCAUCAGGUUAAACGUCACGAUGGCAUGGGGGUACUGUGCAUUGGUUAACGAAGUUAACCUGCACCUCUGGAUGUAACCGGAUGUCUCAUUAUCUAAGUUUUUAGCAUUUAACUCAGGGUGAUUUUUUUGGCAAAACUGUGAGACGUCUUCUGUGAUGCUCCUGUUUGCUACUGUGUUUGUAUCCAGAACCUUUCCUAUAUAAAAACAUCUAUUUUUGUACUUAUGUAUGCUUUAAUCUGUCCUUGGAUGCAGUAAUGAUCUGUAAGAUGUGAAAUAAAGAACAUUCAGCAUCUUCUCUUCAGCAA